AUGGAUGAUCCCAGCCGGUUAAAUUUCGAUACUAGUGAUCUAGAUGUUGACAUCCCCGAGUGGAUGGAUCCUACAGCCCACAAUACCACCACAUACCCCUCUUCUGACGAGUAUGUAGCGUCCGGCAGCCAAUCCACUACCCAGUCUAAUACCUCCACCUCCAUCGGCACAAAGAGGGUUCGACACAAAACCUCAGCGUGCUGGAACCAUUUCAAAGAAGAAAUAGUCGUGGAGGACGGCGUCAACGUGUUGAAAGCUCGGUGCAAGAGAUGCACCCACUUGCUUUCCAUGGGGGGGCAAGGAGGAACCGGCCACCUCAACAGGCACAUCCUCAAGCACGAGAAAGCGGACAAGCAGUCUGCGGGGACACAGGCCACGCUCAAAUUCAACCCCGACGGGAUAGAUUAUAUCGCUUAUUCCACUAAGGUUCGUGAUAAGCUUUCUGAAGUUUAUGCUAAGUACGAUCAAAAGUAUGCCGGAGUUCGCAUGCAGCGGCCUCCACCAGCACCAACUGGAAAAAAGAAAGGAGCGUGGAGCAAGUUAUUUGGUUCUUCCACCUCUGCCCCGAGCUCUUCCACAUCAGGACCAUCGCAUGUGCUUUUAGGUGGUGGGGAGUUAGCGAAGUACCUCAACAGCGACAAAGUCAGCUUCAAUGAAGAUGAGGACGACGACUUUGACAUAAUUCAGUGA
rnacentral:rRNA from 1 species